CAUGCCAUGCUUGCUGCCAUUGUGCAAUCUUUUUGCAACAAUGUGAAUAUGCAACUUGCAAUAACAGAAACCAGAAUUGGGUUACUCAUGUAUUUGUAUUUAGCGUUGAAGUGAAGCAUCAAUUGUGUAGAGCUUAUGUGGUUAUUUUUUUGAGCUAUAAAUUAAUAGAGAUGCCUUCACAAUCUGAUAUUGCAUGUACAAUCAUCUAGAACAACGUCCAUUUAGCUAAAGGUGUCUUGAAGAGUACAGAUUACUGCAAACUUCAAAACUAAAAGCAGAACUUGUAAGAGACAUUGUUUGAGCACAAGCACAUUGCAAUUGAUGAGAUGAUUCAUUUUCUAGAUGAGCUGUGAGCUUCAUGCAAGAUGGAGAGGCACUGUUAUCAUCACCUUGAAUUGCUGGAUUGUCAUUACAUUCUGCUUUUUAAUCCUCAUACAACAUGAUGCCCGAGAUGAAUCCUAAAAAACAUGAGCUCAUGGUAGAAGUUGACAAGAUCAUUCACACGACAAUUAUUCAAUCUGAAUUGGAAUAUACAAAAUGUUGACCAAUAGUGAUCAAUCAAAUUAAUUGAGCUUGCACCAGCAUCUCUCGAAUUUCCUUUGAAAUUGCCAAAAAGGAUAUAUAGUCAACAGUUGCAAUUGAUUCAGAGCCUAGAAGACAGUUAAAUCAGGUUUCAAUUCUGUUGUUGUGCAUGUGCUUAUUGUCAGUUAAAGUUGGAAGUAUUCGGUUGCAGGGUGACGUGAUUUACAUUUUACGCAAUCUGAUUAUCUGUAACUAAUCAAGCGAGUUUUGAGAAGAGUACAAGAGAAAAUAAAUCAUGUCAGUAGAGGGCCUUACUUUUUGACUAGCUGCUGGUAGUUGCAUAACAAGUUAACAACCAUCUUCGCUCUUAGACAAAAUCGGCAUGUCAAAAGUGAAAGGAUGGCCUACCUGAAAUGCCGAUUAUAGGCUUAGGAAUAGUGAUACUGAUUGAGGGUACUGCUAGGAUGGUCUGACUUGCAUAGAUUUCACAUUAG